UACAGAGGCCUCAAGCGUUGUUCGGAAUCACUGGGCGUAAAGGGCGCGUAGGCGGCCAACUAAGUCGGACGUGAAAUCCCCAGGCUCAACCUGGGAACUGCGUCCGAUACUGGAUGGCUUGAAUUCGGGAGAGGGAUGCAGAAUUCCAGGUGUAGCGGUGAAAUGCGUAGAUAUCUGGAGGAACACCGGUGGCGAAGGCGGCAUUCUGGACCGAAACUGACGCUGAGGCGCGAAAGCCAGGGGAGCAAACGGG
rnacentral:rRNA from 1 species